rnacentral:lncRNA from 1 species
GGAGUAUUCACCCAUCGGCAGAAAGUUGAGCAGAAAAAAAGAACUGUUCAAAUCAGAAACGAACUGUCGUUCAUUUUGCCGUUCUUUUUAAGGCCUAUCAACACAAUGCUAUUUUGCUUCGACCGAUCACUGCUCGUGAACCGUUUUGUCGAAAAAGAACUAAUUUCGGGAUUCUGUCGACGGGAACAGACAGCUUCGAAUUCUUUUUCUGCUCUGAUCACGUGACACCGGCAGAAUAAUUCUUUCUCUGGAUCAGACGCCAUGUUCUUUUUAACCUCAAUCUUUGAUUGUUGGUUGGUUUGUUUUGAUAUUAUUUUGCUGUCGGUUGUCAGAUUUCGGAUUGCUACUAUUAUACUGUGAAAUUAAUUUGCAGUAGAAAAUUGAGGUUUAAAAUAUUUCCAUUGAUUUCUUUAUUCUUAUAAUUUUUACAAGAGAAAUUGAAAAUGGAUUUACAACAGAAAGGCGUAAAAUUCAUUAUAAAAUUGAUGUGACAGUUCAAAGUUUUGUACUUUCCAGACCUGCACAACGAAUUACCUAUUUGAAAAAUAGAAUAUGGUUAAAAAUUGCUGAUAUGAUAGAGGAUUCAAGUACUAUUUACAAACAAAAUAUUGAAGAGAAUGUGCUCAAAAGGAAAUGCAUAUGAAUUCUUUUUUGUUGACCAGGAUGGAAAAAUUCUUUGGAACCCAUGGUUAGAAUAAGUUAGUUAGGCCUAGAGGUGUACCAGCCAGAAGUAGAGGAUGACAAAGAAAAUCAACUAUGAAUAAUAUUCCAUGUAUAUGAUUCAUGUAUGAUAGUAGCCUACAGAAGAAAGAGAUGGACUAAUCUAAGAAAUAUAUUCAUUUUUCAGUA